GGAUGUGAAGGGGAGCUGGCUGCAACAUCUGUCGCCUCAUUGAUCACUAAGUUUGACUCAGUUGGUCUGGCUGGCUAGACAGUAGUCCCUUUCCUCCCUCAUGGCUUCAUACAAUGUGUCCCUCCUGAAGCUGCAUGCCCAGUUGAAGAGGAUGACCUUCCCAGAUGGAAGGGGACCUUUCUUCAGUCAAGGGUAUGCUAGUAGCUGUGUUUCCAUGCUAGACCUCUUAGCAAUCUCUCAAGAUUAACUUAAUAACCCAGAUCAAGAAAAGCAGGUAACAUAUACUGCCCCUUAUCAUGGCAGUGAUG
rnacentral:snRNA from 1 species